rnacentral:rRNA from 1 species
ACUUUGAAAAGAGAGUCAAAGAGUGCUUGAAAUUGUCAGGAAGGAAGCGGAUGGGGGCCGGCGAUGCGCCUCGGUCAGAUUCGGAACGUUGUUGAGCCGGUCCGCCAGUCGACUUGGGGCGUGGACCAGUGUGGAUAGGGGGGGGAUAUCCCGGGCCUUUGAUACCCGCGUGGAACGUCGUCUCCUCAAUUGUGGUAGGCAGCGCGUGCCUCUGGCGUGCUUCGGCAUCUGCGCGCUCCGGACGCUGGCCUAUGGGCUCCCCAUUCGACCCCUCUUGAAACACGG